rnacentral:rRNA from 1 species
UACGGAGGAUCCAAGCGUUAUCCGGAUUUAUUGGGUUUAAAGGGUGCGUAGGCGGCCCUGUAAGUCAGCGGUGAAAUACGGCAGCUCAACUGUCGAGGUGCCGUUGAUACUGCGGGGCUUGAGUGCUGAUGAGGCAGGCGGAAUUGACGGUGUAGCGGUGAAAUGCUUAGAUAUCGUCAAGAACACCGAUAGCGAAGGCAGCCUGCCAAGGAGCAACUGACGCUGAGGCACGAAAGUGCGGGGAUCAAACAGG